rnacentral:pre_miRNA from 1 species
UGUUUAGUAGAAGUAUGUCCCAAGCAAUAUUUGGGACAUGUUUAUACUAAAA